CCAGACCACCAGUUAAGGUCCCCAAAUAUAUGUUAAGUGGAAAAGGAUGUGGGGUUGCUUAGACAACCAGGAUGUUGGCUUAGAAGCAGCCACCAUUGAAAGAGUGCGUAAUAGCUCACUGGUCGAGUGACCCCGCGCCGAAAAUGUACCGGGGCUAAACAUAUUACCGAAACUGUGGAUGAACCUCUUUAGAGGUUCGUGGUAGGAGAGCGUUCUAAGGGCGGUGAAGUCAGACCGGAAGGACUGGUGGAGCGCUUAGAAGUGAGAAUGCCGGUAUGAGUAGCGAAAGAAGGGUGAGAAUCCCUUCCACCGAAUAUCUAAGGUUUCCUGAGGAAGGCUCGUCCGCUCAGGGUUAGUCGGGACCUAAGCCGAGGCCGAUAGGCGUAGGCGAUGGACAACAGGUAGAGAUUCCUGUACCAGUGCUAAUUGUUUAACCGAUGGGGUGACACAGAAGGAUAGGGAAUCGCACGAAUGGAAAUGUGCGUCCAAGCAGUGAGUGUGAGAAGUAGGCAAAUCCGCUUCUCGCGAAGCAUGAGCUGUGAUGGGGAAGGAAAUUAAGUACGGAAGUUCCUGAUUUCACGCUGUCAAGAAAAGCCUCUAGGAAGAGUAGUACUGCCCGUACCGCAAACCGACACAGGUAGAUGAGGAGAGAAUCCUAAGGUGAGCGAGAGAACUCUCGUUAAGGAACUCGGCAAAAUGACCCCGUAACUUCGGGAGAAGGGGUGCUCUAUUAGGGUGCAAGCCCGAGAGAGCCGCAGUGAAUAGGCCCAGGCGACUGUUUAGCAAAAACACAGGUCUCUGCAAAACCGUAAGGUGACGUAUAGGGGCUGACGCCUGCCCGGUGCUGGAAGGUUAAGAGGAGUGCUUAGCUUCGGCGAAGGUACGAAUUGAAGCCCCAGUAAACGGCGGCCGUAACUAUAACGGUCCUAAGGUAGCGAAAUUCCUUGUCGGGUAAGUUCCGACCCGCACGAAAGGCGCAACGAUCUGGGCACUGUCUCAACGAGAGACUCGGUGAAAUUAUAGUACCUGUGAAGAUGCAGGUUACCCGCGACAGGACGGAAAGACCCCGUGGAGCUUUACUGCAACCUGAUAUGGAAUGUUUGUACCGCU
rnacentral:rRNA from 1 species